GGCGUCUUAACACAGGCAAGUCGAACGGAAAGGCCCUGCUUUUGUGGGUCCUCGAUUGGCGAAUGGGUGAGUAACACGUGAGUAACCUGCCCUUGACUUUGGGAUAACUCCAGGAAACGGGGGCUAAUACCGGAUAGGAGCUCAUGCUGCAUGGUGGGGGUUGGAAAGUUUCGGCGGUUGGGGAUGUACUCCGGCUUAUCAGCUUGUUGGUGGUGUAGUGGCUUACCAAGGCUUUGACGGGUAGCCGGCCUGAGAGGGUGACCGGCCACAUUGGGACUGAGAUACGGCCCAGACUCCUACGGGAGGCAGCAGUGGGGAAUAUUGCACAAUGGGCGGAAGCCUGAUGCAGCAACGCCGCGUGCGGGAUGACGGCCUUCGGGUUGUAAACCGCUUUCGCCUGUGACGAAGCGUGAGUGACGGUAAUGGGUAAAGAAGCACCGGCUAACUACGUGCCAGCAGCCGCGGUGAUACGUAGGGUGCGAGCGUUGUCCGGAUUUAUUGGGCGUAAAGGGCUCGUAGGUGGUUGAUCGCGUCGGAAGUGUAAUCUUGGGGCUUAACCCUGAGCGUGCUUUCGAUACGGGUUGACUUGAGGAAGGUAGGGGAGAAUGGAAUUCCUGGUGGAGCGGUGGAAUGCGCAGAUAUCAGGAGGAACACCAGUGGCGAAGGCGGUUCUCUGGGCCUUUCCUGACGCUGAGGAGCGAAAGCGUGGGGAGCGAACAGGCUUAGAUACCCUGGUAGUCCACGCUGUAA
rnacentral:rRNA from 1 species